rnacentral:rRNA from 1 species
UGCCUACGGGAGGCAGCAGUGGGGAAUAUUGCGCAAUGGGGGCAACCCUGACGCAGCAACGCCGCGUGAUUGAAGAAGGCCUUCGGGUUGUAAGGAUCUUUAAUCGGGGACGAAUUUUGACGGUACCCGAAGAAUAAGCUCCGGCUAACUACGUGCCAGCAGCCGCGGUAAUACGUAGGGAGCAAGCGUUAUCCGGAUUUACUGGGUGUAAAGGGCGUGUAGCCGGGUUGACAAGUCAGAUGUGAAAUCCUGCGGCUUAACCGCAGAACUGCAUUUGAAACUGUUGAUCUUGAGUACUGGAGAGG